CAAGGCUAUGGGCUUCCCCGGGGUGAGUUGCCCCCCGGUGAACUCCCGGAACCCAUUCGUCAUUCCUGGUGCAUUCCCGGUAACUCCGAAAACCUUCCGGUAAUCAAAUGACGUCAUCCUAUAUAUCAAUCUUCGUUUCCGGACCAUUUCGGAAACCCUCGUUACGUCCGUGAUCUCAUCCGGGACUCCGAACAACAUUCGGUAACCAACCA
rnacentral:lncRNA from 1 species